AGUGAACGCUGGCGGUAGGCCUAACACAUGCAAGUCGAACGGCAGCACAGGAGAGCUUGCUCUCUGGGUGGCGAGUGGCGGACGGGUGAGGAAUACAUCGGAAUCUGCCCAGUCGUGGGGGAUAACGUAGGGAAACUUACGCUAAUACCGCAUACGACCUUCGGGUGAAAGAGGGGGAUCGCAAGACCUCUCGCGAUUGGAUGAGCCGAUGUCGGAUUAGCUAGUUGGCGGGGUAAUGGCCCACCAAGGCGCCGAUCCGUAGCUGGUCUGAGAGGAUGAUCAGCCACACUGGAACUGAGACACGGUCCAGACUCCUACGGGAGGCAACAGUGGGGAAUAUUGGACAAUGGGCGCAAGCCUGAUCCAGCCAUACCGCGUGGGUGAAGAAGGCCUUCGGGUUGUAAAGCCCUUUUGUUGGGAAAGAAAUCUUUCAGGCUAAUACCCUGGGAGGAUGACGGUACCCAAAGAAUAAGCACCGGCUAACUUCGUG
rnacentral:rRNA from 1 species